ACGGGUGAGUAACACGUGAGCAACGUGCCCAUAACUCUGGGAUAACCUCCGGAAACGGUGGCUAAUACUGGAUAUCUAACACGAUCGCAUGGUCUGUGUUUGGAAAGAUUUUUUGGUUAUGGAUCGGCUCACGGCCUAUCAGCUUGUUGGUGAGGUAAUGGCUCACCAAGGCGACGACGGGUAGCCGGCCUGAGAGGGUGACCGGCCACACUGGGACUGAGACACGGCCCAGACUCCUACGGGAGGCAGCAGUGGGGAAUAUUGCACAAUGGGCGAAAGCCUGAUGCAGCAACGCCGCGUGAGGGAUGACGGCCUUCGGGUUGUAAACCUCUUUUAGUAGGGAAGAAGCGAAAGUGACGGUACCUGCAGAAAAAGCACCGGCUAACUACGUGCCAGCAGCCGCGGUAAUACGUAGGGUGCAAGCGUUGUCCGGAAUUAUUGGGCGUAAAGAGCUCGUAGGCGGUUUGUCGCGUCUGCUGUGAAAUCCCGAGGCUCAACCUCGGGUCUGCAGUGGGUACGGGCAGACUAGAGUGUGGUAGGGGAGAUUGGAAUUCCUGGUGUAGCGGUGGAAUGC
rnacentral:rRNA from 1 species